UACGUAGGGUGCAAGCGUUAAUCGGAAUUACUGGGCGUAAAGCGUGCGCAGGCGGUUUUGUAAGACAGGUGUGAAAUCCCCGGGCUUAACCUGGGAACUGCAUUUGUGACUGCAGGGCUGGAGUGCGGCAGAGGGGGAUGGAAUUCCGCGUGUAGCAGUGAAAUGCGUAGAUAUGCGGAGGAACACCGAUGGCGAAGGCAAUCCCCUGGGCCUGCACUGACGCUCAUGCACGAAAGCGUGGGGAGCAAACAGG
rnacentral:rRNA from 1 species